GGAUGGGAUAAUGGGAUGGGAUGGGCCAAGGACUGCUUCCCACAGCUCCUCCUGCCUGUGGAUGGGACUCAGGGAAUAACAGGUGUGACAUGGGGGAAUCACGGGUGGGACACAGGGAACAAACCCCAGGUGAGACACAGGGAAAAAACAGAGAUGGGACACAGGGAAUAACAGGUGGGGACAUAGGGAAUUUCAGGUGGGACAUAGAGAGCCACAGGUGGGACACAAAGAACAAAGGUGGGAUAUAGGGAACUGCAGGUGGGACACGUGGAAUAAUGAGUGGGACACGGGCAGCCAGAGUUGGGACACAAGGAAAGAACCACAGGUGGGACACAGGGAACAAGCAGGGAUGGGACACAGGGAAUGGCAGAGGGACACAGGGAAUGGCAGGAGGGACACAAGGAAUGGCAGGCAGGACACAAGGAACAACAAGAGAUGGGAUACAGGGAAAAAACCACAGGUGGGACACAGGGAAUGGCAGGUGGGACACUGGCAGGUAAAGGUGAGACACAGGUACAGGUGGGACACAGGGAACAAAACAUAAGUGGGACACAGGGAACUGCAGGUGGAAUACAGGGAACAAACCACAGGUGGGACACAGGGAACAAGCAGAGAUGGGACACAGGGAAUGGCAGUGGGACACAGGGAAUGGCAGGAGGGACACAAGGAAUGGCAGGAGGGACACAAGGAAUGGCAGGAGGGACACAAGGAACAACAAGAGAUGGGACACAGGGAAAAAAACACAGGUGGGACACAGGGAAUGGCAGGUGGGACACAGGGAACAAACCACAGGUGGGACACAGGGAAUGGCAGGUGGGACACAGGGAA